rnacentral:rRNA from 1 species
CCUACCAUGGUGGUAACGGGUAACGGGGUGUUAGGGCACGACACCGGAGAGGGAGCCUGAGAAACGGCUACCACAUCCAAGGAUGGCAGCAGGCGCGCAAAUUACCCAAUCCCGACACGGGGAGGUAGUGACAAUAAAUAACAAUACGGGGUUCUUUAGGAUCUCGUAAUUGGAAUGAGUACAAUUUAAAUCUCUUAACGAGGAACAAUUGGAGGGCAAGUCUGGUGCCAGCAGCCGCGGUAAUUCCAGCUCCAAUAGCGUAUAUUAAAGUUGUUGCAGUUAAAAAGCUCGUAGUUGAAUUUCGGGGUUAGUAGGUUGGUCAUGCCUCUGGUAUGUACUGGUCUCACUGAUUCCUCCUUCCUUAUGAACCGUAAUGCCAUUAAUUUGGUGUUGCGGGGAAUUUGGACUGUUACUUUGAAAAAAUUAGAGUGUUUAAAGCAAGCUAACGCUUGAAUACAUUAGCAUGGAAUAAUGAAAUAGGACGUUCGAUCUUAUUUUGUUGGUUUCUAGGAUUGACAUAAUGAUUAAUAGGGAUAGUUGGGGGCAUUAGUAUUCAAUUGUCAGAGGUGAAAUUCUUGGAUUUAUUGAAGACUAACUACUGCGAAAGCAUUUGCCAAGGAUGUUUUCAUUAAUCAAGAACGAAAGUUAGGGGAUCGAAGACGAUCAGAUACCGUCGUAGUCUUAACCAUAAACUAUGCCGACUAGGGAUCGGAUGAUGUA